rnacentral:hammerhead_ribozyme from 1 species
AUCCAGACGAUAAGUCCCAAAUAGGACGAAACGCGCAUCCUGUAU